rnacentral:rRNA from 1 species
UUAUGGGUGGCGAGUGGCGGACGGGUGAGGAAUACAUCGGAAUCUACUCUUUCGUGGGGGAUAACGUAGGGAAACUUACGCUAAUACCGCAUACGACCUACGGGUGAAAGCGGAGGACCUUCGGGCUUCGCGCGAUUGAAUGAGCCGAUGUCGGAUUAGCUAGUUGGCGGGGUAAAGGCCCACCAAGGCGACGAUCCGUAGCUGGUCUGAGAGGAUGAUCAGCCACACUGGAACUGAGACACGGUCCAGACUCCUACGGGAGGCAGCAGUGGGGAAUAUUGGACAAUGGGCGCAAGCCUGAUCCAGCCAUGCCGCGUGGGUGAAGAAGGCCUUCGGGUUGUAAAGCCCUUUUGUUGGGAAAGAAAAGCAGUCGGUUAAUACCCGAUUGUUCUGACGGUACCCAAAGAAUAAGCACCGGCUAACUUCGUGCCAGCAGCCGCGGUAAUACGAAGGGUGCAAGCGUUACUCGGAAUUACUGGGCGUAAAGCGUGCGUAGGUGGUGGUUUAAGUCUGUUGUGAAAGCCCUGGGCUCAACCUGGGAAUUGCAGUGGAUACUGGGUCACUAGAGUGUGGUAGAGGGUAGCGGAAUUCCCGGUGUAGCAGUGAAAUGCGUAGAGAUCGGGAGGAACAUCCGUGGCGAAGGCGGCUACCUGGACCAACACUGACACUGAGGCACGAAAGCGUGGGGAGCAAACAGGA